UCCGCUCUGAAAUCAAUAAAAAUGUAUUUUGCUGCCUGCGGGUGCUGCACCUGUGACACCAGGGCACAGAGGAAGUGGCUAUUUCUAGGCUCAGUGCCCAGUGGGCGCUAAGAAUGGUUUGUAGCCUGACAUUC